CAGCCGCACCUCCGGAGUCCCUGCCACCGCCCCGCGCCCCCCGCCGGCGGGCGCGCUCCCAGGCCCCUGAUUCCUCCCGGAUAUCCACGCCCCGCCCCUCCCUCACGCUCCGGACGGAGGCUCCGCCCCCAGCCCGAGACUUGGAGGCGUCCGACCCCCGAGCGAGCGCCCUUUUCCACCCUUCUCCAAGGAGGGCCCGAGGGGUUCUGCAGGGGCGAGUUUCGGUGUCUAAAGCCUUCCUUUUCCCAUGAUGUGCGCAUAGGAAGCCUUCUGUGUAACCUUACCUCUGAGACCUAGUUAUCAGUUGCCAAAACCCAGCCAUAAGGAUGUCAUUCCAUGGACCAUAUCUUAGAGGUUUUCACUUACAAAGCAUCCCUUGGAGUACCCCGCUCAGAGACUGGCACAAAGGGAGUGGGUAUCGUUGUUGAACAGGAAAAAAUAAGAUCCUGUUGGAGCUUUGGCCCUGAUGACUUAUGCACCUGGAACGUUCCAUGGGAUGGAGCACGGCUGGGCAGGGUGGACCGCUGAGGACAGAGAGCUGACCCAACAGACACCUGAUCUGACAGGAGCAAGUCCUGCAGAACCUGCACUGGAGAGAUUUUGGCGGUCACCCAGCCGCAGUUCACCACCCUGGCUGCACCUAGACGCACCUGGGAGCUUAAAAGAAUAUUCGUUUCUGGAUUCCAUCCCUGGAGGUUUAAUUCAAGUGGUCUGGGGUAGAACUCCUGAAGUUCUAUGAGAAAGAAGAGCUAAAUGUCACCCAUGACUGCAGACCUCCCUGGGGCCUUGAAGUCAGUGCAAGAGAUGAAACAGCACCUGCAGGCUGAACAGGAAGUCGUCCUGUCUUUUUACAGCCCAGCCCCCUCACAAGCCAAAAUCCAUCAUCCAUCCUGGAGACACUGGAUUAGGAACGAGACACCUCAACCAGACUCCUCCGGCUCUUUCCGAGUAUGGGCACAACCUCCUGACAAGCUGGCAACUUCAGAUGAAUGUCAAGUAUUUGAAAAGCGAAGUUGGUUGACUGCCACCUCCUCGCUGUUUUGACACUUUAACCUUAAACCUUAAAAUUGAGGAUGUGUGCUCUUGAAGAAGGGAUAGAAAAUAAUAAAACCUACGUGCAUCAGUGAGGGCCUUUUCUUUCACCUUUACAUGCAGGAGAUUCUUUAAAAAUAUGUCCACUAUGCCUCUAAUCAAUAAAAACCAAAGAUGUCCAAUAAAAUCUAUUUGAGAAAUCCUAAUAGAAGUUUUAAAACUUCUUUCCUUUUAUAAUUCCAUUUAAUAGCCCUAUCUUGAAUACUAGGCUAAUACAUUUGUUAACCAGUAACGCAUCAAUAAAAUAAUGUUCUCAGCUGUCCCUUGAAACAGGAGCCAGGCCUCUGAAGAUCCUGAGGUAUUUGUUAGUUGGUUGGUUGGUUAGUUAGUUAGUUAAGAAAAUUAUGGUCAAGCCUCCUCAGACUUUUCACCAAGACAGUAAAAUGAAGAAAAGUAAAUUGAGAUUGAAAUAAGGCACUUGUUUUCUCAUCUGUUCACGUGGGAAAGGGUUGUUUGUCAUCUGCAUGCCCCCAUGACAAACAUUUAUUGAGAAUCUAUGGGCAAGACACAGCUGGCCUAAUGAUAUUAGAUCAAUUGGGUGAUGGCCCCGUGGGGGAGAGAGCUGGCCAUCCAGAUACUGAUGGGAGAAGAGAUCAAAAACGCCAUCAUGGAGGCAAGUGGCUGAGACAGUCUGUCCCACACCAAGCUACGGACCACAGGGGUUCAAAAGGAGGAAGCAGUACUUCUGAUCCUCAGAGAGCUCAUGGGCCUUAUGUGACCCGAGAGAGUUUAGGUCCUCUUCCUAGCACCACAGGAAGGGAAAACUAGAUCUAAGUCUAAAACUCACUGUCCCAUAACUGCUAUAACUUUUGCAGCACCUACAGGAGAUGAUCAAUUUGAGAAAGGAAAUGGCUAAUUCCAUCAUCAGGAAAUAUAAAGGAGCACCUACAUAUUUUAUAUAAUAAAAUAGGUAGCACUUAUUGAGAGCUUACCUUGUGCUGUAUAUAAUCCUAAACACUUUACAUGCAUUAUUUCAUUUAACCCCCAUAGUAAUCCCAUGAGGUAGGUACCAUUGUCAUUUCCAUUGUAUAGAUGAAGGAACUGAGCCACAGAGAUAUUAUGUAUCACAAGUGGCAUUGUUUUCUUCAGAAUCUGCUCUUUUGACCCUUCUGCUGCUCUGUACAUUGUUAAGAAUAAUAAAUACCUAAUGCGAUUGAAAUAAUACUAUCCCAAAGCAGUUUAUGUAACCCCAGGGCUUCUAAGCGUCUGCAUACUGCUUAUUUGAAGUAAUAUUAAAUAAAGCAUGUGUCCUAAUAUAAUUAGGACAGUCAUAUAAUCCUUGGGCAUUCCUAAUAAUGGAAUUGAAUUAUGGUCCAACUACUAAUAACACGUUAAACUAUCCAGAGGAAGACGUCAAGGACUGAGGUGUGAUUUACUUUUUCCUUGGACGGCUAAGGUAAUCUGACAAAACGAAACCCUCCAAACUACACGGAGGCAAGAUGUUUGACAGGCUCUUCCUGGCUCUUCUAAAAUGCAAUUUUGGCAGCAGCUUUUGACAGGACAUCAUUUCACACACACAAAUAGGAGGCCAUGGAUUAUCACAAGGAGGCUAAUCCUGAGCUCAAAUAUUUCCUCUGUACAUCCAAAAUGACUUCUAAAAGGCUGUGAUUACUCUGAAAAUGUAGGCACUGUAGGCUCUGAAUUCCUCUUUGGAGCUCCCUCUGUGAGGAAACAAACAUAAAGGAACCUAACCUAGUGCAGGAAUCAUCUCCAGGAGGCAACAUUCAGAUUUCUCAACUUGAAGGACUAAGAGUGGGGGAAGGGAGAGGAGGGAGGAGUAUUCCUGGAAGAAGGAACAGUUGACACAAAGGACUGAAAGCAAGAAAAUGCAAGUGAGGCUAGAAUUUUAGUGUAACUGGAGGUCAGUGCUUGAGGAAAAGCUGAGAGAGUGGAAGCAGACUCCGCUGUUAGGAAUUUAUCCCUGGGGCGAAAGGAAGCUAUUGAAAGAUUUUAGCAAAUGUUAAGCCUAUCUACUAUUUCCCAGGCUUGGUUUAAGGAUUUAUGAAAUGAUGUUUGUAAAGUACAUUUGCAGCCUUUAAAAAUGAGUAUGAAAGAAAUACUAAGUUGUUUCUAUCUUUUCCCCCAGAUGGCAAAUGCAAAACGUCAUCCAUAAGGUCUUCAGGAAAGGAACCCAUGGAUCUCCUUUUAAUUAUGAAGAGGUUCCCAGACAUUUCCUCAUGGCUCAUUUCCUCAUCCCACAUAGUCCAAGUCAUAGAUCAAGAAUCUAUAAGAUUUAAAUGGCAAAUAUCCACACAUUUAUAAACGGCUUUGGUAGAAUCAUGCUUUCAAACAUGUUUUUGCUCAUAAUUCUCUGGCAAGUGACAAAACCAUUACCUUCCUGUGAAUUAAUUCUUCCAGAACAUCUCAGUUUACCCAAGUAACAACCACGGAGGGCUCACGAAACAUCCUUGGCGAUUGACUUCUGAAGUACACGCAACAAACCAGGAACAGCAUCCAUGAUCCACGGAGCCCCUGUAACCAGGUAAAGCUGCAGAAGCUACUAAGCACUUGGGAGAAAUGUGGAAAACUCCACUGUUGGGAAAGACAGAAGAAUAAAACCCAAUUCCAGGACCCACUGGGUCAUCCUGCAACACACCUAGGUAAUCACCACUUUGGCAGAAAGUACACACAAUGGGCACAAAUGAAUCUUCAUCUCUCUUUAUCCUUUUCUAGCCUAAGGGCAAUGGAUGGAUGAUUAUGACCACUUCUCCCUGGAACUUAUAAUCACUAUGCUUUUCAUCCACUCAACACAUUUUAUGAGCUUCUGCUCUGUUCUGGGCACCAACCAUAUUGGGCACCAGAAAAGAGAAGUUAAAUAAGACUUGGUCCCUGACUUUGAAUUUCUCACAGUGAGAUGAAAGAGGUAGGCAGGUUAUAGUUAGAGUCAGGGCUAACAGAACACUGGACAUUAUUUGAAACUACCGGAUAUAUAUUAUCCCCAGAACCAGGGUCAGAAUGAAAAAUAAACAGGAAUUCCCAGCUGCAAGGUCUUACCAAACAAUCCCCUUUCCCCUGGACAACAGUUAAUCUUUAAUAGGAAAAACAGGAAGCAUCCUAUUCAAAUUCCUGGUUGAUGGAUGCAGGCUGAAUAUUCAUUAGGGUGGUGGUGGAGGGGAGCAGGAGGGAGAAAAUAGCAGGAAGCCGAGAACACCCAUAGCAUGAGACUUUUUCAGAUUGUUAAGAUGUGUUUCCUAGACAGCUUCCAUGGAGGAGGGUUGUCACAUUUUUCCUAUUGUGAGACUACAUAUGACAAUGAUAAUUUAGAUAGUAAAAUAGUCUUUAGCUCCUAAUAAUUGUCAGUUCACAAAUUCUGUAUACAUUUUAACAUUAAGGCAUAUGAAAGUAAAAGCAUCAUUUGCGUUAGGACUGUCACCUAAAGUCAGAUUAAAGGAAUAUAGAGAUAGUAUAAAAAGAUAGUUAUGAUGUAGUGCAGCCACGGGAGCUAACAAAAAAGAAUACACUUUCUUCUUGCUAGUUUUGUGGCUGUUAUUAAGCUGCUGCUUUCCUGCUACUGACAAAUACCAUCCUUGGGCUUGGCUGGGUGGUUGGUGGACAGGUAAGCCUAGAGGCGGACUGCCAGAGAUGGGAUCAUAUAUAUACAGUAGUGCUGUAAGCACAACACGAUAAAGUACCUCUAGAAGAAUGGAUGUCUGUCUUUUUCUCUCUACUCUCUGAGAAUAAAUGCAUAUUGGCAGUAUAAUUAGCAGGCCUAUGUCUUGCUGGAUUGAGACGUCAUCACUGAAUGCAGCUCCUCAAAGGGACAGCUAGGAAAUUUUAAAGGUGACCUAAAAAUGGGGUUUGAAUAUAAAAACUGAAAAAUUCUUGCUGGCAAUAUUUAAGUAGAAGCUUAGUGCAUUUGGCUGUGCUGCACAAAGGAAAUCAGUGUUCUCUAUUAGCUAAAUUUGAGGUCAUUUGUGUUUGCUUUCCCAACCCCUGAGAAACCACAAUUCUUUCAUAGUGAGUCACAGCCCUCUCACCUUCCUUCCCCUCCUCCUUCCCCCACUCACUUCACCUCCAGCCUGCAUCCUUCUGACAAACACCCAGAGCUUGGCCGGAUCAACCCUUUGUGUUCAGGCUCCUUCUCGCACAUCUUCCUCGGGGAAUGGGAUGAGGCAGUGGCAGCCUGACUCCCUCGCAGUGUCACUCUGACACCACAGCCUCUUAUACAGAGAACACCCAGCUCCAGGAGCGGAGGGUACAUAGGAGCAAAUGACACUGCAGAAUCACCUGACAUUACUGUCACCUCCCCUUCCUCCCGGAAGAACACGGGCAAAGCCUUCAGGGGAUGAAAAGGAGUCACAGAAAGGUGGCCUGCUAGAGGGAAGGGUAGGUAUGGUAGGGUGUUAAGGAAAGUGGAGAAGCCUAGAAGAGGGGAUUAUUGAUAAUUUGAUGAAUACAGAUCUCAAGGCUUGUUGUUUGCACCUUUUCAAGGUGCCCCACCUCCUUUCCUCCCUACCAUUCCACCUGAAUGCCCGCACACCCUUUCUAAAGAAGGAUGGAGGAAACCUUUGGGAGGAAGGAUGAAGUGGUCACAUACCCUUAUACCCAUGGGUUCUCUCCCCAGAAAAUGAACAUGCACGUUAUAUUUUUGCAAAAAAAAUUUCAGUUUUGGCUCUCCCCAAAUCCUUUCUAUAGUUCACUUCUCCAAGUCAGAAAUCCACCUCAGAGAUCAACGUGAACUCAGCGGUCAGCGCCAGGAUACUCCCAGGUUUCACUGACACAAAUGGGUCCUUCAACAUUCUAGUGAGACUUGGCUUGGUGUUACUCUUCGACACCCCCAAUCUGCUACUCAUUUGUGGCCGCUCCACCCCUGAGAAUAAGGCAUCCCCCAAAGGCCAACCUUAAGGGAGUCAGGAGCAUUGGAUGUGAGCAAGCUACUGGAAGCUCUUGGAAGCUAGAUAUGCCAGAAAUAUAUGCAGAAAAAUGGAAACGAGAUCCAGGAAACAGAUGAACCACUGAAGAGAGAAGCAAUAACAAUUCCCAAGAUGAUGGCCAAGGGAAAGCCUAAGAAGAUGAAUUCACAAAAUAUACUGAUUAGAGAGGAAAUUUACACAAUUAGGGAAAGCUUAGGACUAUAUAUAUGUACUAUACUAUAUGUACUAUUAUAUGUAUAUAUUGCAUAUGUGUACUAUUAUAAUUAGUACAUUAUGCACAUUAUAAAACACAAUAUAAAUAAAAGGAUGAAGUAAAAAUAAAUAUAAAUAAGCAUUCUAUUAUUUUUCCCUCCUCCCAGUGAAUCUCUGAUGCACCUCCUGCUUGCACCCCAUGGGACACCCCUAAUACAAGGGAUAACUUCCUGAUGUUAGUUGAUCAGAUUAGCCAGGGGAAAUCAUGCCUGAAGGAAAUGGGCCAGAGAAAAGGUAAAUGUUGACCCUGGGAGAGAGGAUGGAACACGGGCCGAAGCCAGCCUCGUCUGUGGUGGGUUUUGCAAGGCACCACAAGGUAAGUUCUGGGAACCCAGACCAGCAUGAGGGCCUGAGCCUCAGAGGCCUGGACCUGGGGACCAGAGAGCCAUAAACUCUUGGAAAAAGCAAGUGCCUUCAAGACCUUCUCAGUUACACCUCUCGUUUUACCAACGAGAAUACUUUAGUAGUUCUAAAUCCACUUAACAUAUCUGCAUUUUAUGGAUGUCCAAAUAAAGGUAUGAAAAGUAAAUAUAAAGAGAUCUUACGUAUGUUUAAUUUUCUGCCCUAAUUGUCUUCCACCGACUACCUGUGCUGCCAACUCUCUUGUUUGCCGCUGUCCAGGAUAUAAGUUUCCUCUCACUCGACGCCUCUACAGUUCCUUUACUCCUCUGAGCUGGAGCUGGGCAUGUGUCUUCAGAAAACAUUCUUUGAAAUAUUUUUGAAGAGCUUCACAGAGUCCUUGUUAUCUAAUAGAUAGGCCAAAAAUCUGACUCCAGGCGUGUUUUCCUUUUCUGUUCUAUCAAAGGAA